GUAGGUGAACCUGCGGAAGGAUCAUUAACACGUAUCCACGUUUUAAAUCUCCACACCAAACUCUGUGAACUUUUUCAUCGCAUGUGAGUCGGUCGAGCUAGUUAGCUGGAUCGAUCGAUUCAUAUGUCAUUUUUUACCCUUUUUCCUAACCACCCCUAUUGACUCCUUAACAGCCCCAAUGGACUAAUUUUUCAGAUUUUCAAAAUCAACCAACUCGAUAUAUCGAAUGAUAAUUUCUAUCUUUCUAUAUGUUUUGUUGAUUUGUUUUGUUGAAUCGCACCAUAUGGAUCCUGGAUCCAAAUGAGUUGAAGCACAACCCUUAGCAAUGGAUAUCUUGGUUCUC
rnacentral:misc_RNA from 1 species